rnacentral:rRNA from 1 species
UUGAACGCUGGCGGCAGGCCUAACACAUGCAAGUCGAGCGAGAAAGCACUUCGGUGUGAGUAGAGCGGCGGACGGGUGAGUAACGCGUAGGAAACUGCCUGGUAGUGGGGGACAACAGUUGGAAACGACUGCUAAUACCGCAUACGCCCUACGGGGGAAAGCAGGGGAUCUUCGGACCUUGCGCUACCAGAUGUGCCUGCGUCGGAUUAGCUUGUUGGUGGGGUAAUGGCCUACCAAGGCGACGAUCCGUAGCUGGUCUGAGAGGAUGAUCAGCCACACUGGGACUGAGACACGGCCCAGACUCCUACGGGAGGCAGCAGUGGGGAAUAUUGGACAAUGGGCGCAAGCCUGAUCCAGCCAUGCCGCGUGUGUGAAGAAGGCUCUAGGGUUGUAAAGCACUUUAAGUGGGGAGGAAAGGUUGUUGGUUAAUAGCUAACAGCUGUGACGUUACCCACAGAAUAAGCACCGGUUAACUCCGUGCCAGUAGUUGUGGUAAUACGGAGGGUGCAAGCGUUAAUCGGAAUUACUGGGCGUAAAGCGUUCGUAGGCGGUCUAUUAAGCAAGAUGUGAAAGCCCAGGGCUCAACCUUGGAACUGCAUUUUGAACUGGUAGACUAGAGUACUGUAGAGGGUGGUGGAAUUUCCAGUGUAGCGGUGAAAUGCGUAGAGAUUGGAAGGAACAUCAGUGGCGAAGGCGACACUCUGGACCAAUACUGACGCUGAGGUGCGAAAGCGGGGGGGGAGCAAACAGGAUUAGAUACCCUGGUAGUCCACGCCGUAAACGAUGUCUACUAGCCGUUGGGUUCCUUGAGGACUUAGUGGCGCAGCUAACGCAUUAAGUAGACCGCCUGGGGAGUACGGCCGCAAGGUUAAAACUCAAAUGAAUUGACGGGGGCCCGCACAAGCGGUGGAGCAUGUGGUUUAAUUCGAUGCAAUGCGAAGAAUCUUACCAGGUCUUGACAUCCUACUAAGUUUCCAGAGAUGGAAUCGUGCCUUCGGGAAAGUAGUGACAGGUGCUGUAUGGCUGUCGUCAGCUCGUGUCGUGGGAUGUUGGGUUAAGUCCCGUAACGAGCGCAACCCUUGUCCUUAGUUGCCAGCGCGUAAUGGUGGGAACUCUAAGGAGACUGCCGGUGACAAACCGGAGGAAGGUGGGGACGACGUCAAGUCAUCAUGGCCCUUACGACCUGGGCUACACACGUGCUACAAUGGUUGGUACAGAGGGUUGCCAAGCCGCGAGGUGGAGCUAAUCCCAGAAAACCGAUCGUAGUCCGGAUUGGAGUCUGCAACUCGACUCCAUGAAGUCGGAAUCGCUAGUAAUCGCGAAUCAGAAUGUCGCGGUGAAUACGUUCCCGGGCCUUGUACACACCG